UACGAAGGGGGCUAGCGUUGCUCGGAAUCACUGGGCGUAAAGCGCACGUAGGCGGACUCUUAAGUCGGUGGUGAAAUCCUGGAGCUCAACUCCAGAACUGCCUUCGAUACUGAGAGUCUCGAGUCCGGGAGAGGUGAGUGGAACGUGCGAGUGUAGAGGUGAAAUUCGUAGAUAUUCGCAAGAACACCAGUGGCGAAGGCGGCUCACUGGCCCGGUACUGACGCUGAGGUGCGAAAGCGUGGGGAGCAAACAGG
rnacentral:rRNA from 1 species